rnacentral:tRNA from 1 species
UGAGGAUGUAGCUCAGUGGUAGAACACUUGCCUAGCAUGUGCAAGAAGCUGGGUUUGAUCCCCAGUACCACAA